AGCGAACGCUGGCGGCAGGCCUAACACAUGCAAGUCGAACGAAGUCUUCGGACUUAGUGGCGGACGGGUGAGUAACACGUGGGAACGUGCCUUUAGGUUCGGAAUAACUCAGGGAAACUUGUGCUAAUACCGAAUGUGCCCUUCGGGGGAAAGAUUUAUCGCCUUUAGAGCGGCCCGCGUCUGAUUAGCUAGUUGGUGAGGUAAAGGCUCACCAAGGCGACGAUCAGUAGCUGGUCUGAGAGGAUGAUCAGCCACGUUGGGACUGAGACACGGCCCAAACUCCUACGGGAGGCAGCAGUGGGGAAUCUUGCGCAAUGGGCGAAAGCCUGACGCAGCCAUGCCGCGUGAAUGAUGAAGGUCUUAGGAUUGUAAAAUUCUUUCACCGGGGACGAUAAUGACGGUACCCGGAGAAGAAGCCCCGGCUAACUUCGUGCCAGCAGCCGCCGUAA
rnacentral:rRNA from 1 species